AUGAAAGGUGUCAGGCUGGUGACGUGGAUGCAUGCGGAUCCUGUUCAACCAACCCUCCAGAGAUUUCCAUAGAAGAACCGUGUCAGGCUGGUCAUGUGGAUGCGUACAGAUCCUGUUCAACCAACCCUCCAGAGAUUUCCAAAGAUGAGCUGUGUCAGGCUGGUGAGGUAGAUGCAUGCAGAACCUGUUCAACCAACCCUGCAGAGCACAAAGUAAACACAGAGAUGGUAAGGGGAAAGAACUCAACAG